GAGGGCACAAGAUGGCGGCGCCCGCACUGUACGGGCACGGCACAAGAUGGCGGCGCCCGGUAGGGGAGGAGGCGCGCGAUGGCGGCGCCCACUGGCGCUGGAGGCCCGGCCCCCUCCUUCCCCGCCUUCCGCGGUGCCUGAGACCACAAGUUUCAAGAAAAAAUAAUGAAAAAACCCUGCCCAUGUGAAGCAUUGGGAAACACACAGGGAAAACGUCCUGGAAGAAUAUGGGAGAGCAUCUGUGAGUCCUGCAAAGGGUGAGACUACUGUGUGAUGAGUGUUGUUGAAAUAAGGAGAAUAAAAAUUGUGGAAAAGAGGACAUUUCAUCAUUUAAAAAGUACUUUAAACUCUUCUUAAAGCUUACUAAAAAUGUAACUAAAAUAGCCAUAGGCAAGCACUGGCAGGCUGUGAAUGAAAAAAAUCUGUUGCACAUGUACAGUUAAACUGGAAAACCUGAGCAAGGCAUGUGGUCCACACACGGAGAGCUGCCUUGGGCUGGGUGGCUCUGGAUUUUGUCACAGGAUCAGAGCAUGUUUUGGAUAGAAGGAACAGUGCUGUUUUAACUAUAUUUAAAAAAUGAGAGUGUGAUCAGGGCUGCCAUCAAGUACUUCACAGUUCACAUAGGACCUGGCUACACCCACAGCUUGAAAAUGCCUUUGCUGGACUGGCAUCUGCAAAGCCACAGGAGAAGAGAGGAGGGCAGAAGUGCAUAUCUUGGAAAGGACAGAUGCUGAGAACCAAGGAGGCAAGGAACCUGCUGGCUCCUGGGGCAGCAGGUUAAUCUCACCCUUGUACUGCAGAUCAGCAAAUCCUCGCAUGGCUUGACAGAGAAUCGCACCUCUCCAUCUGCUUGUUUGCCCCAGGGCUGCAACCUCCCAGGGCCAGUGAUGGAGGCAACAGCAGCCGCGUUUGGCUGAAAUCAGAGAUAAAUACAUCAAAAGAGCCCGCAGCAGAAUCAGGGCAGCCUGAGAGGCUGGUGCUCAGAUCCCUGACCUGGGCUGGGCGUGCUGCGGUCCUGGCCGGCAGCUGCAGGCAGCGGUGACACUUCUGCCCCGUCCAGACUGGGCGACGGAGCCGGUUCCCAGCUGUGAGGGGUGACAAAAAGCCACACGUGCCCCCUGGCCAUGUCCCUGUCCCCUCGGCCGCACCCCCGCCAUGUCCGCGCGCCGCCGCCAGGGGGCGCAAGUAGCGCGCCGGAGGGGCGGUGCCGCAGGGGCGCGGUGGGGAGGCCCCGCCCCUCGGCCUCGGCCCCGCCCCUCGGGCUGCGGCCUCCCCCUGGCAACGACAACAAACAAUGGCGGGCAGGACCCCGGCGGGCCGGACCCGCUGCCUCCCGCGGGACCCCGGCGGGCAGGACCCCGCUCCUCCCGCGGGACCCCGGCGGGCAGGACCCCGCUCCUCCCGCGGGACCCCGGCGGGCCGGACCCCGCUCCUCCCGCGGGACCCCGGCGGGCAGGACCCCGCUCCUCCCGCGGGACCCCGGCAGCAGCCCCCGUGAGGCGGCUUGUGAUGGGCAAGAGCCGCCCGGACCUGCGGGGUCGCGGGCACCUCGCGCUGCAGGGAUCUGCAGGUUUCAUCGUGCCAUCCCGCUGCCUGCCAGGCUCUGGGGCGUGCAGUGCCUCUGCUGGGGUCGCUUCAGGAGGUGGUUUGUCCCCGGGGUGAAGGACGGAAGGUGAGGGAAAGGCUUCUGACCCUCUGGCAAAUGUGGUGCCAGGACCCAGCUGAGAACAGUACAGUUCUGUGGUCCAUCCGUCCUCAGUGGCAAUGAAGUCUGGCAAGGAAUUGUCACUGGCCACUCUGCACAAUAAGGGCGUUGCUGUCUUCACAUGGAGCAAUUCCUCUUUUUUUGUUUUUGGAAAGCAAAGCACAUGCCGGUGUAUCUACCUAGGAGCCUGUUGUUCACAUAGAGUUUAAACCUGGAUUUUAAAGCUUCAGUUUUGCAGGAUCUACCACACAGAGCAGGAAGUUGAGGAUCCUGCUGACAGCAAACAAGAGGGGGUCAUUUAUGGACUGGCAGUUGUUUUGCUCCCUCCAAGAGGCCUGAGUUUAAGCAGUAAGAUAAUGCAGAUUUCUCACCAGGUUACUAAAUUUUUGAAUCUGCUGGCAGGGACCUUCCUGGAUCAUGUUCUGUGAAGUGUCAGCUGGGAUUUCCAUUUCUCCAGCAAAGGCACCCCUGAGCCCCUGCCUGGCCAGACCAAAACCUCUGACCCAAGCCCAGCUGUUCAUGGACCCUGGCAUGUGUGGAUGUGGUGGUCAGCAGCGGUCCCUUCCCAGGAGACAACCUCAUCAUGCCCUGCCAGAUGGAUGGUGGUGAUUCCUUCCCAUCACAGGUCUCCCAAAGAGAGGGAGCAUUAACCCCUUAUGAACAGCAACUGGUCUGCAGCACUGUAUGCAGUCACUUUCCUGAUAAGAAAAACAUUAAUGAUCAAGGAAAAAAGAAAUGUGAGGAUCUUUUGAUCAUUUGUUCUUAUUUAUUUCUCUGAAGGCCUUGGGCUACCCACACAAAUCUCUCCUGCCUGCCUGCUAAGAAAUGUUUGAUAAGACAUUUGUGUUGUUUAUUCCUGAGUCAGCAAGCUGAUCUACUCCAACAGAAAGGAUGGCAGCCAGUGGCUCACUUAACCCCACACAGGUCACCCAGAAAGCAGAUAAAAGACAGCUUUAGCCCCCAGAAGGCCAGCCUCAGCUCUGAUGUUGGUGUCUGAAGCAACUGGGCAGGAUAGAUGUUCCUCAGGCUGGCGGUGUGCUGGGAUAGCUGGGAUAAGGCAUCUUCUGUAGCCUCAUUGCUCACAGGUUGUUAGAGAACUUCACUGAAGAAGACAAACCCCGAGAGAUCCUGUUUCUCUAAAAGUAAGAGGUGCUGAUUUCUAUUUGCCAGAAAUUUAGGCAGCGAUAUGGAGUCAGCCCUGGAACAGAGUAACUGGAGAGCUGUAACACCCACUUAUAAGCAUUUCAGUUUAGGCUCAUGCUUUUCGAGGCAUACCUUCAAUUUGGUGGCUCAGAGAUUUGCAAACAGUGAGUCAUAACUCCCUGGGGUCAGAAAUGCAGCUGCUGAGAUACCAGGCAUUGAAAAGUGUUGUCCAAGAUAAAAGCAAAGCAAACCUCACUGCCCACACACCCUUGUCCUUCAAGGCUGAGUAUCUUUGUCACAGUCUUUGAAAACAUGUACUCAAAAUUAUUCCAGCUUCUUGUGGUUACCAUUGAUACAGGAUUUGCUUCUCCUUUUAGAGCAGACAAGAGGGCAUUGCGAAAAUCUGUCACUUGAAAAGAGUUAAAGCAGACAGAUCUGAAGCUAAUACGCAGCAUGCUGUGCCUUGCCUGGUGUUUGAGGUGGGAAUCCUGCAGUGGGACAUGUCUGUGUCCUCCCCACAGAGGGUCCCAGGGGAACUUCCUAGGCCUCUGCAGACAAGCCCUGUCUCUUGGGAUCCAGGAUGGCCCUGCAGACCCAGAGUGCGCUGCAUUGUAGCCAGUUUGGCUCCUACCCACAGAGAGCUGUCUUUGGGACAUCUUUUGGCACUGACUCACUGUUAAGGAAGAAGCAACAUGCAAAUCACCUGUCCCACAAAGUGUCCCAUUCACAGAGGUCAUGUGGCUCCAGGCUUCUGUCCCAUGACACAUUCUGAGUGCAACAACAGCAUGACAUGGCCACCUUUGUCACAAAACGCCUGCACGCAGAGCUCACGUGGCUGGUCCACCCCCUCGCACAGCACCCGUGCAGAGAAGAGCAGUGGCACCUGCAAAGUGUUCCAGGCCCUGCCAGCCACUGGCCUGUCCUGCCUGCCAGCCACUGGCCUGUCCUGCCUGCCCUCAUGGCUUAAAAGCCACUAAUGGCAUGAGCUGAGAGCUCUCAGGCUCACCAGACCUUCACUGUGGAGGCUUCAGUGCUUGCCCAGCACGUGGGUCUCCUGUUACAGGCAAUGGACUGGGACAAGCCCGUGCUCUGCUCCACCAGCUGCUGAGGUGCUGAAGGCUUUUCCUCUUUAGUCCUGUCUCCCUUUUAACUGAUACCAGGUUUUUCUGCAGCUCUUUGCAUCUAAUGGGGCAUCCUAAAAGCACUAAUAAACUGCUGCUAAAAUUUUCCUUCUCUGGAGUCUGGAGCAUCACUCUUAUGAGGAGAGACUGUGGCAGCUGGGCCUGCGUAGUCUGGAGAAGACUGAGAGGGGAUCUGUAAUCCAUACAAAUAUCUCAAAGGCAGCUGCCAAGAGGAUGGUGCCAGACUCUUUUUGGUGGUUCCCAGCAACAGGACGAGAAGCAAAGACCAUAAAUGAAAACUCAAGAAAUUCCACUUCAGCAUGAGAAAGAAUUUCUUUAGGUUGAGGGUGGCAGAGCCCUGAACAGCUGCCCAAGGAGGUUGUGGAGUCUCGGGAGACAUUCAAGUCCCACCUGGAUGUGUUCCUGUGUCACCUGCUCUGGGUGACCCUGCCUUGGCAGGGGCUGGGCUGGAUGAUCUCCAGAGGUCUCUUCCAACCCCAACAAGUC